CGCGUAGGCGGAUUCUCAAGUCCGGGGUGAAAUCCUCCAGCUCAACUGGAGAACUGCCUCGGAUACUGGGUGUCUCGAGGGUGGUAGGGGUAUGCGGAACUAUCGGUGGAGCGGUGAAAUGCGUUGAUAUCGAUAGGAACUCCGGUGGCGAAGGCGGCAUACUGGACCACAUCUGACGCUGAGGCGCGAAAGCCAGGGGAGCGAACG
rnacentral:rRNA from 1 species